AGAGUUUGAUCCUGGCUCAGAACGAACGCUGGCGGCGUGGAUAAGACAUGCAAGUCGAGCGGGAACUUUUCUGGUAGCAAUACCGGGAAAGUUCUAGCGGCGAACGGGUGCGUAACACGUGGGCAAUCUGCCUUAAAGUGGGGGAUAGCUCGGCGAAAGCCGAAUUAAUACCGCAUAUGAUGAGAGACGACAUCGUUUCGAAAUCAAAGCCGGGGCGACCUGGCGCUUUUUGAGGAGCCCGCGGCCUAUCAGCUAGUUGGUGAGGUAACGGCCCACCAAGGCUAUGACGGGUAGCUGGUCUGAGAGGACGACCAGUCACACUGGAACUGAGACACGGUCCAGACACCUACGGGUGGCAGCAGUCGAGAAUUUUUCUCAAUGGGGGAAACCCUGAAGGAGCGACGCCGCGUGGAGGAUGAAGGUCUUCGGGUUGUAAACUCCUGUCAUUUGAGAACAAGCGUCGGUAAGUAACUACUACCGGCUUGAUAGUAUCAGAAGAGGAAGAGACGGCUAACUCUGUGCCAGCAGCCGCGGUAAUACAGAGGUCUCAAGCGUUGUUCGGAUUCAUUGGGCGUAAAGGGUGUGUAGGUGGCGCCGUAAGUCGGGUGUGAAAUCUCGGGGCUUAACUCCGAAACUGCAUUCGAUACUGCGGUGCUUGAGGACUGGAGAGGAGACUGGAAUUCAUGGUGUAGCAGUGAAAUGCGUAGAGAUCAUGAGGAAGACCAGUGGCGAAGGCGGGUCUCUGGACAGUUCCUGACACUGAGACACGAAGGCCAGGGGAGCAAACGGGAUUAGAUACCCCGGUAGUCC
rnacentral:rRNA from 1 species